rnacentral:rRNA from 1 species
UACGGAGGGUGCAAGCGUUAUCCGGAUUCACUGGGUUUAAAGGGUGCGUAGGUGGAUUAGUAAGUCAGUGGUGAAAUCUCCGGGCUUAACCCGGAAACUGCCAUUGAUACUAUUAGUCUUGAAUACCGUGGAGGUCAGCGGAAUAUGUCAUGUAGCGGUGAAAUGCUUGGAUAUGACAUAGAACACCAAUUGCGAAGGCAGCUGGCUACACGAAUAUUGACACUCAGGCACGAAAGCGUGGGGAUCAAACAGG